GGACAAAUAAAUGGAACCAAGAUGGAAAGGCAAGGGCUCAGAAGCCAAAGCUCUUGCAGAUCCAAUGUCAAAGAUUGUUUCACAGCUUUGUACUUCUCUAAUCCAAAUAGAUGCUCUUGGGUUACUCUCAGGAUCCAGUGUGCUUCUUGCAGUGGAAACAGAACAGACUGAGCUUCUCACUGGUGCAUGUUUUGGCCGACCG
rnacentral:misc_RNA from 1 species